rnacentral:hammerhead_ribozyme from 1 species
AUAUUGCUGAAGAGUCUCAAACUAGGACGAAACAGUUGUCCAGUAC